rnacentral:rRNA from 1 species
CUGCAGCUCAAGUGGUGACCACUAUUAUUGGGCCUAAUACGUUCGUAGCCGGUUUGGUAAAUGCCUGGGUAAAUCGUGUAGCUUAACUAUACGAAUUCCGGGUAGACUGCCAAACUUGAGACCGGGAGAAGCUAGAGGUACUCCUGGGGUAGAGGUGAAAUUCUGUAAUCCUAGGGGGACCACCAGUGGCGAAGGCGUCUAGCUAGAACGGGUCUGACGGUGAGGGACGAAGCCCUGGGGCGCAAACCGGAUUAGAUACCCGAGUAGUCC